rnacentral:rRNA from 1 species
AACGAACGCUGGCGGCAUGCCUAACACAUGCAAGUCGAACGAGACCUUCGUGUCUACUUGCGCACGCGUGCGUAACGCGUGGGAACCUUCCCUUAGGUUCGGAAUAACUCCCCGACAUGGGUGCUAAUACCGGAUAACGUCCUCGGACCAAACAUUUAUCGCCUUUGGAUGGGCCCGCGUUGGAUUAGCUUGUUGGUAGGGUAAAAGCCUACCAAGGCGACGAUCCAUAGCUGGUCUGAGAGGAUGAUCAGCCACACUGGGAGUGAGACGCGGCCCAGACUACUACGGGAGGCAGCAGUGGGGAAUAUUGGACUAUGGGGUAGAGCCUGAUGCAGCAAUGCCGCGUGAGUGAUGAAGGCCUUAGGGUUGUAAAGCUCUUUUACCCGGGAUGAUAAUGACAGUACCGGGAGAAUAAGCACCGGCUAACUCCGUG